rnacentral:rRNA from 1 species
CGCGUAGGCGGUCUGUUAAGUCUGAUGUGAAAGCCCCGGGCUCAACCCGGGAAGUGCAUUGGAUACUGGCAGACUUGAGUACGGGAGAGGGAAGUGGAAUUCCGAGUGUAGGAGUGAAAUCCGUAGAUAUUCGGAGGAACACCGGUGGCGAAGGCGGCUUCCUGGACCGAUACUGACGCUGAGACGCGAAAGCGUGGGGAGCAAACAGGAUUAGAUACCCUGGUAGUC